AGAGUUUGAUCCUGGCUCAGGACGUACGCUGGCGGCGUGCUUAACACAUGCAAGUCGAGCGAUGAAGCACCUUCGGGUGUGAAUUAGCGGCGAACGGGUGAGGAACACGUGAGAAGUCUGCCUUCAACACUGGGAUAACUCCGGGAAACCGGGGCUAAUACCGGAUACGAGACCUGCAGGCAUCUGCGGGUCUGGAAAGUUUUUCGGUUGAAGAUGAUCUCGCGGCCUAUCAGCUUGUUGGUGAGGUAAUGGCUCACCAAGGCGACGACGGGUAGCCGGCCUGAGAGGGCGACCGGCCACACUGGGACUGAGACACGGCCCAGACUCCUACGGGAGGCAGCAGUGGGGAAUAUUGGGCAAUGGAGGAAACUCUGACCCAGCGACGCCGCGUGCGGGAUGAAGGCCUUCGGGUUGUAAACCGCUUUCAGCAGGGAAGAAGCGAAAGUGACGGUACCUGCAGAAGAAGCACCGGCUAACUAUGUGCCAGCAGCCGCGGUAAUACAUAGGGUGCAAGCGUUGUCCGGAAUUAUUGGGCGUAAAGAGCUCGUAGGUGGUUCGUCACGUCGGAUGUGAAACUCUGGGGCUUAACCCCAGACCUGCAUUCGAUACGGGCGAGCUUGAGUAUGGUAGGGGAGUCUGGAAUUCCUGGUGUAGCGGUGGAAUGCGCA
rnacentral:rRNA from 1 species